rnacentral:rRNA from 1 species
AGCGGCGGACGGGUGAGUAACGCGUGGGUAACCUGCCUCAUACAGGGGGAUAACAGUUGGAAACGGCUGCUAAUACCGCAUAAGCGCACAGUACCGCAUGGUACCGUGUAAAAAACUCCGGUGGUAUGAGAUGGACCCGCGUCUGAUUAGCUAGUUGGUGGGGUAACGGCCUACCAAGGCGACGAUCAGUAGCCGACCUGAGAGGGUGACCGGCCACAUUGGGACUGAGACACGGCCCAA